AGCCUCUGCUUUUAUUUUACGUCACAACACAACAAAGCCUUAAGCUUGAUCAAAUAUUGCUAGGCAAUCCCAAAUAAUAAAUUGUACUCAACAGUAUAAAUGAUAUUUUUUUGAAGGUUUGGAAUUGUUCCUCAUCUGACCUGCUGGAGCAGCUGAAGGAAGACCUGGGGGACUGGGUGGCUUCCUGUGGCAUGCCUGGCAUCUAUGGGGCUACAAUGGAGGACUUGCCAUCCCUGCGUUCAGCAGUUGUUGAGCACUAUGUUUUCCACAGAUUGGCCAGCAUGGUGAAACAAUAUAUAAGUGGGUUCAACUCAUGUGGGGGUUUCUGGCAGGUGGUGGAAAGACACUGCAUGCAGUUUCUCCCUGUGUUUACAAACGUAGGUGAAAAACUUUUUGAGAAGCUGCAUGCAGUCUCUCUUCACCAUACAAUGGAGUCCACCUGGAAGCAACCGCAGGGAGGCUGAAGAGCAGACCAUUUUCUGGUGGGAUUGGUGGCUGGUUGCUAUUCAAGAUGGAGAAGUAGACAUCUCCUUUGAGCAAAUACUUGUGUUUGUGUCAGGGGCGGAUACCAUUCCCCCGCUUGGGUUCACCAAACCCAACA